rnacentral:rRNA from 1 species
CCUACGGGUGGCAGCAGUGAGGAAUAUUGGUCAAUGGACGAGAGUCUGAACCAGCCAAGUAGCGUGAAGGAUGACUGCCCUAUGGGUUGUAAACUUCUUUUAUAUGGGAAUAAAAUGUUCCACGUGUGGGAUUUUGUAUGUACCAUAUGAAUAAGGAUAGGCUAACACCGUGCCAGCAGCCGCGGUAAUACGGAGGAUCCGAGCGUUAUCUGGAUUUAUUGGGUUGAAAGGGAGCGUAGGUGGAUUGUUAAGUCAGUUGUGAAAGUUUGCGGCUCAACCGUAAAAUUGCAGUUGAAACUGGGAGUCUUGAGUACAGUAGAGGUGGGCGGAAUUCGUGGUGUAGCGGUGGAAUGCUUAGAUAUCACGAAGAACUCCGAUUGCGAAGGCAGCUCACUGGACUGCAACUGACACUGAGGGUCGAAAGUGUGGGUAUCAAACAGGAUUAGAUACCCCUGGUAGUC